GGGGCUGUACCGGUUUCGACGGGGGCAGUGAGGCAGGAUAAGCGGGCGGAGGUGUCUAACCUCCUUAAACCGGGCAAUUUUUUUAAAUUAACUGACAACAAUACUGUUGCUCUGGCUGCCUAAUUAGGCGCCCAUCCGCCCCGGGAGGGCCACGAACCGGGCUCGGGUGUGAUCGAAGUGGCGAACGUGCGUGCGGUAAGCUUUGCCCGCACCAUGCAUCAUGAAGCUACCAAACCGCAGAGUGCGUCAAUUCACGCUGCGGCAAGGGAAUGUAAAUAGUUGACUUCGCCCGAAGAAAGUCCUGUCAAGUUGUUUUCGGACAGGGGUUCGACUCCCCUCAGCUCCACCA
rnacentral:tmRNA from 1 species